rnacentral:rRNA from 1 species
UACGUAGGGUGCAAGCGUUAUCCGGAAUUAUUGGGCGUAAAGAGCUCGUAGGCGGUUUGUCGCGUCUGCUGUGAAAACUGGGGGCUCAACCUUCAGAGGUCGACCGAAACCAUCUGGCUAGAGUCCGGGAGAGGAGAGUGGAAUUCCCGGUGUAGCGGUGGAAUGCGUAGAGAUCGGGAAGAACAUCAGUGGCGAAGGCGGUCUGCUGGGCCGUUGCUGACGCUGAGGCGCGACAGCGUGGGGAGCAAACAGG